AUGCCGGUAGGUGUUCCCAAAGUAGCCUUUGAUGUUCCCGGCGAGGAUGAAGCUUCUUGGAUUGACUUAUACUAUCGACUUUUUCACGAAAGACUACUUUUUUUAGGCGGAGGGAUUCUAUCUGGAAUGGCAAUUUUUGAUGUUAUGCAAUUUGUAGAAGCAGAAGUACAGACAGUAUGCGUAGGAUUAGCCGCUUCAAUGGGAUCUCUUAUUUUGUUAGGAGGAGAAAUUACCAAACGUCUAGCAUUCCCUCAUGCUUGGCGCCACUGA